CCCGGGCGGCGGGAGCGCCGGCUGCCGCCCCUGGGACCGGCCAUCCCGGCGGGCCCGGGGAGCGCGCCCUGCAAAGCUGCACACGGGGCACCGUGUGCUGGCACACACACCCCUGGGCGCGCCUCUCUCCAGGGAAAGGAUGGCUGCUCUUCCUUUUCCCACGUAGGGAGGGAGACACGUUUUCCAGGUGUUGUGUGAGUUUUGCCUGGUCUUUCAGAGGAGGGAGGGGAAAGCUGGUGGUCUCCCGUCUGGAGCACCUCAGGUAUGAGAUCAGGAAGAGGAGAUGUGCUUCCUAAGAAAAAGUGACUGGAUUUGUUCUGGGCUUCCUGUGGGAUUCUGGGAGAAAAAUGAAAAGGCUUUGCUGCUGUGUGAGGGGCAAUGAAAUGGUGCUUUACCAGCUUCUCUUCUGGUGGUCUGUGCUGUGUCUGUGUUCUGUCAAGCUGGGGAGUCAGCAUCCCAAACAGAAGUGAUGCUGCCAAGGACUGGGAGGAACUCAUACUGCGAGGAGACCAGCACCAGGAUGUUCAGCUGGGCCACAGCAAACGACAGAGGGCUGCACUGCAGCAGUGGAAGUGUUGCAGAGGACGGCAGAAGCCUUAAGUCUUUGUUUAGCUGCUGAAACACGGUGCACUGAGAGGUAUAUGCAGUUGCUGCAUCAGCUCAGGGCCCUGUUCCCUCCUCUCUCUCCUGCACCACAGCUGUGCCCUGGCACAGGCCACUGCUGUCACAGAAGACAAGGAAGGCAAGAAGCUGACCCUGCAGUGGGUGCAGACAGGGCUGGGAAGCCCUUUGCAAAGGUGCUAUGUGUCCUCAGAGGUGCUGGUUUUGCUCUGCUGGCAAUUUCCCAUGAGCAAUCUUUCUCCUCUCUGGGAGACUAAAUAGCCUCUGAGCAAGGAGAAUCUGGCAGUCAUCCUGGGCCCUGCUGUGUCACUGGGGUGUUUGGGGAGGGGAGAGAAUAACCCAAGAGGUGGAGAGCAGGAACUCAUGGUGCAGCUGCAAUUUCCACAACAGCCUCCUUACUCUCCACCUCUGCCAUGGGAAGGGCUCUCCACAUCUCCUGGGUGCUCGUGAGGAGCAAACCACGCUCUCCUUUCUGCCCAUCUGCUGAGUCUGUGCCAUCUCUCUCCCAUUUAAGUAUUUCUUGCCACUGGUGAUAUGGACACUUUUGACAAAUGAGGAAGAAAGGAGGGACAUGUCAGGGUUUGGACAAGGGAAUAAAU